rnacentral:tRNA from 1 species
AGUAAGAUAAGCUAACUAAAGCUGUUGGGCUCAUAACCCAAAAAUAGACUCAUUCUUCUUACUG